UGCAAACAGUGUCUAAACUGCCUGAACUUGUUUAAGGUUUUGCAGAAAGAGUGAUUUAUUUGAAGUUCAAAUAAAUAGAAUUAAACUCAUUUUAAGCCAUGUGAAAGUUGACAGAAGACGUGAAAAUCAUAUUUUCUCUAGUAGAUGUUUGUUAGUCAGCAGUGGUUUUCAUUCUCACCACAGACAAAUUUAAAUUGCAUCCGGCCAAAGACAGGAAAGCACAUGUCUGUUUUAGUUGUUUUUGUGUUCUUGAGCUAAACUUUCAACCCAAAACUGCUCCAGUAGUGAUCUGAACUUCCUCUUCUCUGACAGAAACUGUGCAGUAGUUGAAUCACUAUAUGGCGAGCGCAGCUGAGUGUCAGUCGCUCUUCUGUCAGAGUGAGAAGUGACUGUGUGACUGAAGCAGCGUCACACUCUUCUGCUGGAGACUGGACUUUAGAGAAAUGAUGCUGAUCUUUGGACUGAUGCUGCUGCUGCAAACAUCUGCAUUGUGUUCAGUGUCUGUGGUGUUUGUUCUGGUCUGGUGUCUCCAGCUGAUGGUUCUGUUCGGUCUGUUAGGAGGUUUUCACAUCUACAUGAGACACACGUCAGGUGAGAGACAUUUAUCAUCAUCAUUAUAGAUUUGACAUGCAAAUAUUAAGAGUGUGAUGAUGAUGAUGAUGAUGAUGUUUUUAGGAAAGAAACAGGAAGAGGAGAAAGUGAGAAUGAGAAGAUUUAGAGAGAGACAUGAACACACAGCAGAAGAUUCAUGAGAGCAGCAGCAGAUCUUCACAUCUGUGAGAAAUGAGUUCAGAAUCAGUCCAGCUUUCACCUGUCAACAACAGAUCUUAUAUAAAACCAAGAGAUUCAUUAAACCAGGAGAUAUGAAUUAACCAGAUUUUCUACAGUUUUAGUUAUGAAGAUUAUUUUCUGGACAGCUGUGUUUUGUAAUAGUUUUAUUGCUUAUUUUAUUCAUUUGUCUUUCCUCUUUGAAUGAACUAGCAGUAUUUUUAUGUCAUUAUAUGAAACUCCUUCUGUUCAUCUGUGAUCAAACUCUUUUAUUUCUCUGAAUCAGAUCUGUCAGAUCGUGAACUCAUUCUGUGUGUUUAUUUUCACAUUUCUGCUCUUGCUCUUUUACUUUAUUCUUGAUUUGGUUGAUUUCUCUUUAUUUUCAGUGUCUGUUUAGAUGUUUAAACUGUUUGAAGCUCUUCAUCCGUGUCUCAGUUUUGCAGCGUCUGGUGUUUCCUGACUGUGGUUUUGCUUGAAUUUGCAGUUUUUACAUGACUUUUAACAUGUUAACCACAUUUGUGCAUUUUUCUUCACAAGAUAUUUGUGUCAUUUUAGAAUAUUGAUAAGCCGUUCUUUAGAAAUUGUAAUAGGCUCAUUGCUGAAUUUGUUAUGCUUAACUUUUUUGAGGUAAAUGGAAAUAAAACACUUUGAAGUUAAAAAGUAUUUCA
ensembl:lncRNA